AGUAAAAUGCCUGAUAAAAGGAUUAUCGUGAUAGGAUAAAUAAUGUAAUUUUAUUACUUUUACUA
rnacentral:tRNA from 1 species